AGAACAAAAACAGAACUAAAGAGAGGUGGGCUUGAAUUACAAAAAUAUGAUUUGGUUGCCAUAAAUUCACUCUAUAAAAGAUCCUCUUGCCAAUGAUUAAGGCAUAGAAAAAAGUGUAAAAAAAGGGAACAAACGGCUGAAAACAAACAUUCCUAAAGGAUUCUUAAGAAACUUUGAGUUUUUCUUUGGUUUUGGGGUUCUUCUUGGCUGGGUUUUAGAAGUUGGAACAGACUCUUGGGUUUGUUCAUUGCUGGUGUUGUUAAACUGAGCUAGAACUGCAGAUUUCCUUGCUUCUUUAGGCUGUUUUUCCCUUUUGCUAGUUUGCAGAUCUGACCAUAAUUGGUCAUGUCUGUAAACAUGGAGGCCCAAAAAAUAACGUCCAGAAGCAUCAUUGGAGAUUCAAAUUGCCUCAUAUAGGAUAUAUAUUUACUAGGCUCUGAUUAGGAAUCAUUUAUUUUUAUUUAAUAAUACAUUGUAAUGUUGUUAUAACUAUUUUUCCAUCACUUGAUAUACAGAUUAUGAGUUCUAUAUAGGAUUACUAAUUGUAUGAAACAUGAUGUAGUUAUUUUUCUUGGUUCAA